AUUGGCUAGAAACUGCAAAUCACUGUAAUCCUACAUUUUGAAUUGUCUUUUUCAGCAAUCAUUGGUAGAGGUUUCAGUAAUGACAGUCAGGACGAUCUUUGUUGGUCCAACAAAUCUUACUAUUCACUAAAUGCUAAUAGAAAAAGAUAAGAGUGGAAAGUAAGUAGGUAUUUUGUGCUGUGUUUUAUGAUUUGCUUAUGUAAAAGUUUCCCUAAAAGAUGUUUUCUAAGAUUGUCCUUGCUAUUAUCUUUAUACCUCCGGGCCCAGUUGAUGUGUCCUUGUGAGUCCAGCUCCAGCUGGGUCACAUUUUAGGACAGGGAAUAAUGGCUCCAAUAUUAUCUUCUAAAUCACUACACCAGUGCUGGAAAGGGCCUUACCCAGUUACUGAAUCAGAAACUCCGGAGAUGGGCCCAAUAAUCUGUGUCUUAAGACAUCUUCUAGGUGAUUUUGAAGCAUGCUCGAGUUUGCGAACCACUGCUGUAAGCCAGCCAUCUGCAAGCCGUGACCCAUGUGCCAAAUCCGGCCUGCUACCUGAUUUUCUACAGCUGUGACUAGCACAUGUGGUUGCAUAGAGGAAGAACUCAAAGAGAUUGCAUCGUUUGUCAAACCAACUGAUUUAGGAGCAUCGUCUUGGAGGAUGACAUUAUGGUGAAGAGUCAAUAAGCCUGGCUAGCAUGGAUGAAGUAAAAUCCAGGUCAUGAACUGACACAUGAAAGGAAAGAUUAUCUCCUAUCAAGAAGACCUGAUAAGAGAAAAGAAGAGGAUGGUCUAUGUAUUCUUGACUCUGCAGGGUUGGCCACCAGUUUCCCUCUUAGAAUGAGGACCUGAUGAAGCUCUUAGAAUUGGGACUGUCAGGUAAGACAUCACAAAGACUGCCAUUCCCUUCUUGGGCAAUGCCCAUGAGGGUCAGAUGAUCCACCCUGAUGUGGAGUGGAGGAUCAAGGACCAUGGCUCCAUCUUGGAACCUGGGCUAAUUGUGGA